rnacentral:tRNA from 1 species
UCCCGUGUAGCUCAGUUGGUAGAGCAUGGUGUAUGCAACGCCAGGGUUGUGGGUUCAAUUCCCACAGGGGAC